AGGCGGUGAUGAAUUUAUGUAUACCAUCAAACUUUGAAAGCAAAAUUAGCUUGUUGAUGCCAACUAUACAAUCUGAGUCU